rnacentral:ncRNA from 1 species
CUCUUGAGAGAAAAACUCUACUAGGUGGAUAGCUUGGCUCAAGACGGCGAUGAAGGACGUGGCAAGCUACGAAAUGCCCUGGCGACCCGCACGCAGGGAUUGAACCAGGGAUGUCUGAAUGCGACUUCGUCUUAGAAGCUGAAAGGCUAGUUAGACGCAGGGAACUGAAACAUCUUAGUACCUGCAGGAAGAGAAACCAAACCAGGGAUGCUGUUAUUAGCAGCGAGCGAAAGCAGCACAGGGCAAUCUGAACCGCUCAUUGAAAAAUGAGUUGGGAUGUGGAUUUGUAAGACUGUCUUUUAACCCCUAUUCAGGUCAUCCGAAGUCCUCUGGAAAGAGGUGUCGAAGAGGGUGACAACCCCGUAGGAAAAGCUUGAAGGGUGUGGCAGUAUCUUGAGUAACACCUACUGGAUUCUAGGUGUGAAUCUAGGAGACAUCAACUCCUAACCCUAAACACGUUCUUGAGUCCGAUAGCGCACUAGUACUGUGAAGGAAAGCUGAAAAGCACUCUUGGCAGAGAGUCAAAUAGAACUUAAAACCUAGUAGAUAUAGAGUGAUACGCAAUCAAGGUUGUGUAUCGUCCGUUUUGAAUAACGAGCCAGGGAGUUUGUCUGAGUGGCGAGGAUAACCAGUACUCACUGGGCAUCCUAAGUGAAAGCAAUAGCUCGCAGCUUGCAAGGAGCGAGGUGUGAAAGUGCCUUUAGUCACUCGGACCAGACCCGAAGCCGAGCGAUCUACACCUGGGUAAGGUAAAGUCCUUCUAAAGAAGGGUGGAGGCCUGAAGAGGUUCUACGGGCAAGUGUUCUCGUAACCUGGGUGUAGGGGUAAAAAGCCAAUCGAGCUCGGCGAUAGCUGGUUCCUAUCGAAGUUGGCCGUAGUCAAGCCCUGAGCGAGGUCGUUUAGGAGGUAGAGCUACGGAUUGAGGAUUUAGGCCUCGAAAGGGGUCGGUUCUUUGUCCAACU